GUUCACUCCACACUUCACACUUUCACAAUCCACAACGCUCAGGUGCUAGGGCCUACAACCCAGUAACCCACACUCUCUCUCACUCAAACUCUUUUCCCUGAGGCGUAGCGCCGCAACCCCAACGGUCAGUGGAGAGCUCCUCCUUCACACUUCCAUGCUAUUUCUGCUUCUUAAUCUUACCUCACUCUCUCCUUCUCACCACCAAUCGUCUUUAAUUUUUCGCUGUCCCUUUUUCACCUUCUUCCUCUUUCUGCACCACGUUAGAUCAACCACCACAGCAACUCACCAUCAACCACCGCGCGUGCCAGCAACUCACCGUCAACCUCCUCUCAGAGACUCAGAGUUCUCACCGACGCAGUGUUCAUUGCAAGACAUAGAGCAGAUAAACACAAAUGGAAGGAGGAGAUCCUAGUUUUAUUGCAGUCCAAAGUAAUGAAGACAACAAAGCUAUGGACAUAGAGCAUGAGGUUGCUACUGCUCCUAUCCCAACUCCUGUUGCACCUCCCAUCUCAGAAAAUAUUAAUGAGGAAAAGAAGGUUGAAAAUAACGAGGGACAGCAGGCUACUCGCAAGGGGAAAAAGUCUUAUGUUUGGACGCAUUUUAAACAGCUUCCAUUUAGUGAGACUAAUGGAGAGCACAAGGCCAAAUGUAAUCACUGUCGAAAAGUAUAUCUAUGUCACCCAACUAGACAUGGCACAAAUUCUAUGAAUAAACACUUGAAAGUUUCUCACAAGUGGAUAUUUACAAAAGUAGGAAAAAAUGGGACACUUCAUGGCUAUAUGCCUAAGGUUGGUGAAGAAGGUGAAGCCGGCAAAACUUGCACCAAAGUCAAUGGCUAUAGCUUGGAAGAUUGUAGAAAGGCAAUGGCUGAGUUUAUUAUCCUUGAUGAACACCCUUUUAAAGUGGUCAAAGGGAUUGGAUUUCGCAAAAUGAUUAAUCGAUUUGAGCCAAGAUUCACUGUAUCAUCUAGGAUGACAAUGUCAAGAGAUUGCUUUCAGCUUUAUUUAGAUGAGAAAAAAAACUUAAAGCUUGGUUGGCAAAGUCAUGUGCUAGAGUUUGUUUGACAUCAGAUUGUUGGACAUCAAAUCAAAAUUUUAGCUACAUGAGCCUAACUACACAUUUCGUUGAUGACGAAUGGAAGCUACAAAAGAGAAUUCUCAACUUUUGCUUGAUUGAGAACCACAAGGGCGAAACAAUAGGAAGGGAAAUCGAGACAUGUUUGAGGGAGUGGGGAAUUGAAAAAGUCUUCACAAUCACAUUAGACAAUGCAUCUUCAAAUGACGGGGCUAUCACUUACCUUUAAAGGAAAUUAGCUGCAAGGGGUGGAUUGGUGUGCGGAGGAAAAUAUUUGCAAAUGAGGUGUUGUGCUCAUGUUCUCAACUUGAUAGUGAAUGAUGGGAUUAAAGAGCAACAUGCCUCCAUUGAAAGCAUUCGGAAUGCUGUUAGGUAUAUUAGAUCUUCUCCCCAAAGAAUUAAAAAAUUUAAAGAAUGCAUUGAGGCUGAGUUGAUAGAGUCUAAAAGUCUUGUUUGUUUAGAUGUUCCAACUAGAUGGAAUUCCACCUAUCUAAUGUUGGAACAUGCUGAAAAUUUUGAAAAAGCUUUUGAUAGACUUUAUGAUCAAGAAACUGAUUUCUUUAGAUGGUUUGGAGAGGAUUGUGGGGGUAAAAAGAAAGUUGGUCCACCCACGGCACUUGAUUGGCAACAUGCUAGGCUAUUGAUUUAUUUUUUGAGAAUUUUCUAUGAGAUUACUUUGUGUUUCUCAUGUUCUUUACAUGUUACUUCAAACAAAUGCUUUCAUGAAAUUACAUCUAUACAUUCUCAACUAACAUCUUGGAGCCAUAACAAUUCUGAAUUAUUGGGAACUAUGGCAUGCUCUAUGAAGGCUAAAUACGAUAAAUAUUGGGGACCAGUUGACAAGUUUAAUCCUUUGAUACUUGUUGCCAUUGUUUUAGAUCCUCGAUACAAACUUGAUUAUCUUUCAUGGUGUUUGGAGGAUAUAUAUGAUAAGGAAGUGGCUACUAGUAUGACUAGUUUUGUGAAAUUUACAUUGGAGACAUUGUAUAAAUUUUAUUCAAAAGAAAUUGUAGAUGAUAAAGUUCUUAAUGAUGUUGGCGGUCCCUCUAGAGAUAUUUUGGAUGAUAAAGAUACUAGUCAGUCUAGUGCUAAGGGUGUUGCUGCAAAUAGAGUGAAUUUGUGAAAAAAACAAAAGAAGGAAAAAGCUAAUGCAGACAGCAAAUCAGAUGUUGAGAAAUAUUUGGCCGAAGAUCCUGUAGACGUGGAAGAUGAGAAUUUUGAUAUAUUGGCUUGGUGGAAAUUAAAUGGAUCAAAAUAUAGAAUUCUUUCUCUCAUAGCUCGUGAUGUCUUUGGUAUUCCAGUUUCAACUGUCGCAUCUGAGUCAUGCUUUAGUACCGGUGGUCGUGUGGUUGAUCUUUACCGUAGCUCUUUGUCACCAAAAAUGGCAGAAGCUUUAAUCUGCACUCAAAGUUGGUUGUAUCCAUCUAAGUAGAUAUUUAAAGAGCUUGAGUUUGAUCAAUUUGACAGUAGUGACAAGAUUGUUAAUGAUGUUACUAAAACAUCCACACAACAAGAAUCAAGUUCACAACCUUGAGAGCAAGCUAUGAAUCAAAUGAAUUUUGUUAUGUAGUUGUUUGCUACUUAAUAUUUUGUUGUUAUUAGUUAGUAUGACACUAUAAAUUAUUAUCAUUAUGUUAAUCUUGUGUUGGUUGUUAACUUUGUUUUAAUUGUCUUUUGAACUUUGAAUGUUUAGUGUGUAAUUGACAUAAUUAUUAUUAU